rnacentral:rRNA from 1 species
UACGUAGGGUGCGAGCGUUAAUCGGAAUUACUGGGCGUAAAGCGUGCGUAGACGGUUAUGUAAGUCAGGUGUGAAAGCCCCGGGCUCAACCUGGGAAUUGCAUUUGAGACUGCAUAGCUAGGGUGCGGAAGAGGGAAGCGGAAUUUCCGGUGUAGCGGUGAAAUGCGUAGAUAUCGGAAGGAACACCAGUGGCGAAAGCGGCUUCCUGGUCCAGCACCGACGUUCAGGCACGAAAGCGUGGGGAGCAAACAGG